rnacentral:tRNA from 1 species
GGUUGUAGCUCAGUGGUAGAGCACUUGCCUACCAUGCAUAAGGCACUAGGUUCAAUCCUCAGCACCA